UAUGCUCCUCACAGGUAUCCGCUUGCUAUUGUUCAUCAAUCCACCAUCCUCCCUGCUCCAGCCAGCAGCAGCAGCAGCACUACCGCCCGCCUCUAAACCAUUUGCCGCAUAACGGCCUUCACAGCCAAACCCUGUCCCAGCAGCAAGGAGCGUCUGUUCUGUCACCUCCUUGCUGCCGCCAGCUCAUAUUCGCACACGCGCACACACACACACACACACACACACACACACACACACACACACACAUACAAAUGUGCACACAUGUUCUAUAUGUGACUCCAGCAGCGUUUCCCUACUCGGGUUCAUUAAUUGGACAAGCUCGGAUGCCAUACAACAGCAAAUGAAGUAAAUUAUAUAUAAGUGAAAAAUAACUUGUGUCCCUGAUGUCUUUAUAAUUACUGCAAGGAAAAGCAGGCACUGCAAGAUGUAUGUGCUAAAGCCUAAAUAGUGCAGGCACAUAACCCUUACUUGCAUAUAGGGUAGA